rnacentral:rRNA from 1 species
UACGUAGGGUGCGAGCGUUGCCCGGAUUUAUUGGGCGUAAAGGGCGCGUAGGCGGCUCGGCACGUCCGUUGUGAAAUCGCUCGGCUCAACUGGGCGAGGUCAGCGGAUACGGUCGAGCUUGAGCCAGCUAGGGGGCAAUGGAAUUCCCGGUGUAGUGGUGGAAUGCGUAGAUAUCGGGAGGAGCACCAGUGGCGAAGGCGGUUGCCUGGGGCUGUGCUGACGCUGAUGCGCGAAAGCGUGGGGAGCGAUCCGG